CCUACGGGAGGCUGCAGUGGGGAAUAUUGCACAAUGGGGGGAACCCUGAUGCAGCAAUGCCGCGUGGGUGAAGAAGCACUCCGGUGCGUAAAGCCCUGUCAGCAGGGAAGAAAAUGACAGUACCUGGACAAGAAGCCCCGGCUAACUACGUGCCAGUAGCCGCGGUAAUACGGAGGAUGCGAGCGUUAUCCGGAUUUAGUGGGUUAAAAGGGUGCGUAGGCGGAAUAUCAAGUCAGCGGUAAAAAUUCGGGGCUCAACCCCGUCGUGCCGUUGAAACUGAUGUUCUUGAGUGGGCGAGAAGUAUGCGGAAUGCGUGGUGUAGCGGUGAAAUGCAUAGAUAGCACGCAGAACUCCGAUUGCGAAGGCAGCAUACCGGCGCCCAACUGACGCUGAAGCACGAAAGCGUGGGUAUCGAACAGGAUUAGAUACCCCUGUAGUC
rnacentral:rRNA from 1 species